AUUGAACGCUGGCGGAAUGCUUUACACAUGCAAGUCGAGCGGCAGCGCGGGGGCAACCCUGGCGGCGAGCGGCGAACGGGUGAGUAAUACAUCGGAACGUGUCCUUAAGUGGGGGAUAGCUCGGCGAAAGCCGGAUUAAUACCGCAUAAGCUCUGAGGAGGAAAGCGGGGGCUCCGUAAGGACCUCGCGCUGUUGGAGCGGCCGAUGUCGGAUUAGCUAGUUGGUGGGGUAAAGGCCCACCAAGGCGACGAUCCGUAGCUGGUCUGAGAGGAUGAUCAGCCACACUGGAACUGAGACACGGUCCAGACUCCUACGGGAGGCAGCAGUGGGGAAUUUUGGACAAUGGGGGCAACCCUGAUCCAGCCAUUCCGCGUGAGUGAAGAAGGCCUCGGUUGUAAG
rnacentral:rRNA from 1 species